GUGUUUCGUGCGUUGUUUUCAUUAAUUGGCAACGAUUGCCUAUACAUCAAGUCAGGUGUUCAAGCUCGGUUUUCGAAUUUGGAAUUUGCUAAUUCGUCCAGUACGAAUAAGUAAGAUUUUACUGUUCUUUGAGUUAGUCGUGGAUGUUUACAAUUUCUUUUCUUAAUUCAAAGGAUUCGAAUGAUUGAGUCGCACAGAUGAAACACGUUUUACUGAUUAUUUUGGUUUGGUCUGAAAGUACUAAAAGUAAGAAGUUUGAUGUAAAAUAAUGAUUUUCUCUUUUGACCGGAUCUUAAAUUUAAUUUACAGAAUUUGAAGCUAACUAUUUUCCUGUAAAAUAAAACUCUGAUAAACAAAUUGAGUUCUUUGCUUUCAAUCGUCGGACCAAUCGCCGUAACACGGACA